AUAAAAAAUCUCGAGCUUCUAUAAAAUACUUUGCAGGGUUGAAAUAUUUUUGGCUUGUGGCUCUUUGGGGAGAAAAAAAGAAAAAAGUUUCAGAUGUCUCUGUGUUGUUGGGUCCAAAUGGACAUUUGUCCCGCAGACAUCUCUGAUGUUUUUCAUAGUUUUUUUCCUUUCUUUUCCAGCUCCACGAAGCCUCUCACAACCUCCACGCUUCAUCUGGAGACCAGGCGAUCAUUUGGAAACACUGGACGUGGCUCACUUUUAAUACAGAGCAACACAGCCCGAGGCCCUGACCAGAUCAGCUUACCCGGGUGAGCGUCGGCCUCCCAACAAUGGUCUCGUCAGAUUCCAGCUACCUUCUGUGGAAACACGGGCAGCUGAAAAAGCAACUUUACCAUCGCGCCGACUAAAAAGCAGUGAUUAAGAUGCCAAAAUCAACUACUUAUCGUGGACCGCACCCUGAUUUCAGGCUCCGAGGAAACAGAAAUGAUGUCUU